rnacentral:rRNA from 1 species
UGAGGAAUAUUGGACAAUGGAUGGAAAUCUGAUCCAGCCAUGCCGCGUGCAGGAAGACGGCCCUAUGGGUUGUAAACUGCUUUUGUAUGGGAGCAAUAAGGGCUACGUGUAGUCCGAUGAGAGUACCAUACGAAUAAGCACCGGCUAACUCCGUGCCAGCAGCCGCGGUAAUACGGAGGGUGCAAGCGUUAUCCGGAUUUAUUGGGUUUAAAGGGUGCGUAGGCGGUUUGAUAAGUCAGCGGUGAAAUAUUUCAGCUUAACUGGAAGGGUGCCGUUGAUACUGUCGAGCUUGAAUUUAGUUGCUGUGGGUGGAAUGUGUGGUGUAGCGGUGAAAUGCAUAGAUAUCACACAGAAUAUCGAUUGCGAAGGCAGCUCACAAAGCUAAUAUUGACGCUGAUGCACGAAAGUGUGGGGAUCA